UACGGGGGGAGCAAGCGUUGUUCGGAUUACUGGGCGUAAAGGGCGCGUAGGCGGUCAGCACAAGUCAGUUGUGAAAUCUCCGGGCUUAACUCGGAAAGGUCAACUGAUACUGUGCGACUAGAGUGCAGAAGGGGCAACUGGAAUUCUCGGUGUAGCGGUGAAAUGCGUAGAUAUCGAGAGGAACACCUGCGGCGAAGGCGGGUUGCUGGGCUGACACGGAGCUGAUGCGCGAAAGCCAGGGGAGCGAACGGG
rnacentral:rRNA from 1 species